rnacentral:piRNA from 1 species
UGCCAAAGAGGAAAGUGACCUUCCAA